rnacentral:rRNA from 1 species
GACGUAGGGCGCGAGCGUUGUCCGGAUUUAUUGGGCGUAAAGAGCUCGUAGGCGGCUCGUUGCGUCGGCUGUGAAAAACCCGCAGCUCAACUGUGGGCCUGCAGCCGAUACGGGCGGGCUGGAGUUCGGUAGGGGAGACUGGAAUUCCUGGUGUAGCGGUGAAAUGCGCAGAUAUCAGGAGGAACACCGGUGGCGAAGGCGGGUCUCUGGGCCGAUACUGACGCUGAGGAGCGAAAGCGUGGGGAGCGAACAGG